rnacentral:lncRNA from 1 species
GGUUUAAGAGUUUGCUGUUAAGUUCCGAAAGUUUAGCUUUUGUAAUUUCUAAGGAUGUGUCGAGUUCUGUGAAGUUGUCAAACGUCAUAAUAGUGUCACGUAUAUGUUUAAUGUUUAGUUCGCAAUUGUCCAGUCGUACAAUAUGAAUCAGGUUGUAAUAUGAAGUGAUUAGUCGUGCCGUUCCUAGUCGAAUUGAGCCCGCGAUGGUUAGUUACAGCGAUUCGAAAGUAGAAAUGGUAUCUAUAAAAAAAAUAUAUCGGGAAGAAGUGCAGCAAUCGAGAAGCGUUACCUGAGUACGAAAUACAUAUAACGUAACGUACAGUCCGUUGGAUACGAUGCAAGGAACAUCAACGAAAAUGGAUAAAUUAAAACACCUGCUGAGGGCGAAUAAGAAAACAAACUCAAUUUGCGUACGCAAAAUUGAAAACAAUAC